rnacentral:rRNA from 1 species
CCUACGUGUGGCAGCAGUGGGGAAUAUUGGACAAUGGGGGGAACCCUGAUCCAGCGAUGCCGCGUGAGUGAAGAAGUAUUUCGGUAUGUAAAGCUCUAUCAGCAGGGAAGAAAGAAAUGACGGUACCUGACUAAGAAGCCCCGGCUAACUACGUGCCAGCAGCCGCGCUAAUACGUAGGGGGCAAGCGUUAUACGGAUAUACUGGGUGUAAAGGGAGCGUAGACGGCGAUGCAAGUCUGAAGUGAAAGGCGGGGGCGCAACCCCCGGACUGCUUUGGAAACUGUAUGGCUGGAGUGCAGGUGAGGUAAGUGGAAUGCCUAGUGUAGCGGUGAAAUGCGUAGAUAUUAGGAGGAACACCAGUGGCGAAGGCGGCUUACUGGACUGUAACUGACGUUGAGGCUCGAAAGCGUGGGGAGCAAACAGGAUUAGAUACCCGAGUAGUC